AUGCGCGGGGGUCCCCAGGGCCGGGCGGGGGGUGCUGCUCCGCGAGGGGGAGGCACGGGGGCGAAGAUGCGCCGGGUCCCCAGGACGGGGCGGGGAGGGGGGCGGCUGCUCCGCCAGGGGGAGGCACGGGGGGCGGGGUUGCGCGGGGGUCCCCAGGGCCGGGCGGGGGGUGCUGCUCCGCGAGGGGGAGGCACGGGGGCGAAGAUGCGCCGGGUCCCCAGGACGGGGCGGGGGUGGGGCGGCUGCUCCGCCAGGGGGAGGCACGGGAGGGGAAGGCACGGGGGCGGAGGUGCGCCCGGGUCCCCGGGACGGGGCGGGGGGGAGGGGGGGCUGCUCCGCCAGGGGGAGGCACGGGGGGCGGAGGUGCGCACGGGUCCCCGGGACGGGGCGGGGGGAGGGGGAGGCACGGGGGGCGGAGGGGCGCCCGGGUCCCCGGGACGGGGCGGGGGGGAGGGGGGCUGCUCCGCCAGGGGGAGACACGGGGGGCGGAGGUGCGCCCGGGUCCCCGGGACGCGGCGGGGGGGAGGGGGGCUGCUCCGCCAGGGGGAGGCACGGGGGGCGGGGUUGCGCGGGGGUCCCCAGGGCCGGGCGGGGGGUGCUGCUCCGCGAGGGGGAGGCACGGGGGCAAUGAUGCGCCGGGUCUCCAGGACGGGGCGGGGGGGGGGGCGGCUGCUCCGCCAGGGGGAGGCACUGGGAGGGGAAGGCACGGGGGCGAAGAUGCGCCGGGGUCCCCAGGACGGGGCGGGGGGGCGCUGCUCCGCCAGGGGGAGACACGGGAAGGGGAGGCACGGGGGCGGAGGUGCGCCCGGGUCCCCGGGACGGGGCGGGGGGGAGGGGGAGGCACGGGGGGCGGAGGGACGCCCGGGUCCCCGGGUCCCCGGGACGGGGCGCCGCCGCCCGCCGUCUGGGCCGCUCAGCUCCUCCCGCCGCCGCCUCCGCCGCCGCCUGGCCCCUCCCCCGGCGGCCCGGCCCGGCCCGGCCCCCGCCCCCGCCCCCGCCCCCGCGAGCUAG
rnacentral:lncRNA from 1 species